AUUGAACGCUGGCGGCAGGCCUAACACAUGCAAGUCGAGCGAGCGGCGGACGGGUGAGUAAUGUCUGGGAAACUGCCUGAUGGAGGGGGAUAACUACUGGAAACGGUAGCUAAUACCGCAUACCAUCAGAUGUGCCCAGAUGGGAUUAGCUAGUAGGUGGGGUAACGGCUCACCUCGGCGAGGACCCCUAGCUGGUCUGAGAGGAUGACCAGCCACACUGGGACUGAGACACGGUCCAGACUCCUACGGGAGGCAGCAGUGGGGAAUAUUGGACAAUGGGCGCAAGCCUGAUGCAGCCAUGCCGCGUGUGUGAAGAAGGCCUUCGGGUUGUAAAGCACUGUCAGCGGGGAGGCGUUACCCGCAGAAGAAGCACCGGCGAACACCGUGCCAGCAGCCGCGGUAAUUC
rnacentral:rRNA from 1 species